GAUGAACGCUGGCGGCGUGCCUAAUACAUGCAAGUCGAGCGAACAGACGAGGAGCUUGCUCCUCUGACGUUAGCGGCGGACGGGUGAGUAACACGUGGAUAACCUACCUAUAAGACUGGGAUAACUUCGGGAAACCGGAGCUAAUACCGGAUAAUAUAUUGAACCGCAUGGUUCAAUAGUGAAAGACGGUUUUGCUGUCACUUAUAGAUGGAUCCGCGCCGCAUUAGCUAGUUGGUAAGGUAACGGCUUACCAAGGCGACGAUGCGUAGCCGACCUGAGAGGGUGAUCGGCCACACUGGAACUGAGACACGGUCCAGACUCCUACGGGAGGCAGCAGUAGGGAAUCUUCCGCAAUGGGCGAAAGCUUGACGGAGCAACGCCGCGUAAGUGAUGAAGGUCUUCGGAUCGUAAAACUCUGUUAUUAGGGAAGAACAAAUGUGUAAGUAACUAUGCACGUCUUGACGGUACCUAAUCAGAAAGCCACGGCUAACUACGUG
rnacentral:rRNA from 1 species